CACUAGAAAGCUAAACCGGGAUAAGCGUUAGCCUUUUAAGCUAAACAUUGAUGGCCCCCAACCAUCUCUAGUGA
rnacentral:tRNA from 1 species